AUUGAACGCUGGCGGCAGGCCUAACACAUGCAAGUCGAACGGUAACAGGAAGAAUCUUGCUUCUUUGCUGACGAGUGGCGGACGGGUGAGUCAUGUCUGGGAAACUGCCUGAUGGAGGGGGAUAACUACUGGAAACGGUAGCUAAUACCGCAUAACGUCGCCAGACCAAAGAGGGGGACCUUCGGUCCUCUUGCCAUCGGAUGUGCCCAGAUGGGAUUAGCUAGUAGGUGGGGUUACGGCUCACCUAGGCGACGAUCCCUAGCUGGUCUGAGAGGAUGACCAGCCACACUGGAACUGAGACACGGUCCAGACUCCUACGGGAGGCAGCAGUGGGGAAUAUUGCACAAUGGGCGCAAGCCUGAUGCAGCCAUGCCGCGUGUAUGAAGAAGGCCUUCGGGUUGUAAAGUACUUUCAGCGGGGAGGAAGGGAGUAAAGUUAAUACCUUUGCUCAUUGACGUUACCCGCAGAAGAAGCACCGGCUAACUCCGUG
rnacentral:rRNA from 1 species